GAAAUGCGAUAAGUAGUGUGAAUUGCAGAAUUCAGUGAAUCAUCGAAUCUUUGAACGCACAUUGCGCCCCUUGGUAUUCCAUGGGGCAUGCCUGUUCGAGCGUCAUCUUAACCCUCAAGCACUGCUUGGUGAUGGGCGUCUGUCCCGCCUCUGCGCGCGGACUCGCCCCAAAGGCAUUGGCAGCGGUCCCGUCCGCCUCUCGCGCAGCACAGAUGCGCUUCUCGAGGCUUCGGGCCCGCGUCCACGAAGCUCAUUUACCACGUUUGACCUCGGAUCAGGUAGGGAUACCCGCUGAACUUAA
rnacentral:misc_RNA from 1 species